UCCCCUUCGCGAAGAAGCAUCAUCCUCCAUACAUCCCCUCGUCCGCGGUCUCACAUGGCAGUGGCAUGAGCUGCUUCUCCCCGAAAAAAACGUUUAAAUAAAAAACAAAACAUAAUUAUAAACCAACACGCCUGCCACCGACCGAUCAGACGACCCCUUCCAAGAGGAAAUCCACCACCGCGGCCGGGGCCUCCCAGGAGAUCUCGCCGGAGGCCGCGGCAGCGGCGGCGGUGGGGGGCGAUGGCGCUCAACAUGAAGACCCUGACGCAGGCGCUGGCGAAGGCGUCGGCUGUGAUAGAGAAGACGGUGUCCACGACGGUGCAAGAGGUGACGGGCCCGCGCCCGUUGCAGGACUACGAGCUGCUGGAUCAGGCCGGGUCCGGCGGGCCGGGGCUCGCGUGGCGGAUCUACACGGCGCGACCGCGGGAUGGCGCCCCCUCGGCGCCCUACCCCGUCGUCUCCGUCUGGGUGCUGGACAAGCGCGCCCUCGCUGAGGCGCGGGCGCGGGCGGGGAUGUCGAAGGCGGCCGAGGACGCGUUCCUCGACCUCGUCCGCGCCGACGCGGCGCGGCUCGUGCGCCUGCGCCACCCGGGCGUGCUGCACGUCGUGCAGGCGCUCGACGAGACCAAGGCCGCCAUGGCCAUGGCCACUGAGCCCGUCUUCGCCUCCGUAGCUAACGCGCUCGGGUGCCUUGACAAUGUUGGCAAGGUGCCCAAGGAGGUCAAGGGCAUGGAAAUGGGGCUACUUGAGAUUAAACAUGGGCUGCUACAAGUUGCAGAGACGUUGGAUUUUCUUCAUAACAAUGCUCAUCUUGCCCAUCGAGCUAUAUCGCCUGAGACGGUAUUUAUAACUUCUAACGGGUCUUGGAAGCUUGGUGGGUUUGGUUUUGCUCUUUCGGUUGAUCAAGCAGCAGUUGGUUUGAGUUUGACUUCAUCACAACUAUUUCAUUAUUCGGACUAUGAUGUCGAGGAUACAGCUUUACCUCUUCAACCAUCGUUGAACUAUACUGCACCAGAAUUGGUCCAAAGUAGAGAUUCUAAAGUUGGCUCUGCUUGUGAUAUGUUUAGCUUUGGAUGUUUGGCUUACAAUCUGGUUGCUCGUAGACCACUUCUGGACUGCCAUAACAAUGUUAAAAUGUACAUGAAUGCCUUGACAUAUUUAACAAGUGAAGCCUUUUCUAAUAUUCCUUCUGAUUUGGUAUUGGAUUUGCAAAGGAUGCUAUCGAUGGAUGCACUAUCACGUCCUAGUGCUAUGGCCUUUACAGGUUCUUCUUUCUUCCGGGAUGAUACGAGGUUGCGCGCUCUUCGUUUCCUUGACCAUUUGCUUGAGAGAGAUAAUAUGCAGAAGACAGAGUUUUUGAAGGCAUUAUCAGAUAUGUGGAAGGAUUUUGAUUCCCGAGUUCUUCGAUAUAAAGUGCUUCCUCCUCUUUGUGCUGAGUUACGCAACAUGGUUAUGCAGCCAAUGAUUUUGCCUAUGGUUCUAACUAUAGCAGAAUCUCAGGAUAAAGGGGAUUUUGAACUCGCAACACUGCCUGCGCUUGUUCCAGUGUUUGCUUCAGCGUCAGGUGAAACUCUACUUUUGCUUGUGAAGCAUGCAGAUCUCAUCAUUAACAAGGCCACUCAGGAACAUUUGAUAUCACAUGUUCUUCCAAUGCUGGUCCGGGCUUAUGAUGACAAUGAUCCCCGGUUACAGGAAGAAGUUCUGCGUCGAACAGUACCACUGUCUCGUCAACUUGACACCAAGCUAGUCAAUAAAGCUGUGCUUCCUCGUGUACAUGGAUUAGCUCUAAAGACAACAGUUGCUGCGGUGCGUGUGAAUGCGUUGCGCUGUUUAGGAGAUCUUGUGCCAUCCUUGGACAAAGAAGGAAUAAUGGGUAUCUUGGAGACUGUUCGGCGUUGCACAGCUGUUGACCAUACUGCGCCAACUCUUAUGUGCACACUUGGUGUUGCUAAUGCAAUCUAUAAACAAUGCGGUGUUGAGUUUGCUGCGGAAUAUGUGAUUCCUCUCAUCUUCCCAUUGCUCACAGCACAUCAACUGAAUGUACAACAAUUUGCCAAGUAUAUGCUAUUUGUCAAGGACAUUACAAGCAAGAUUGAAGAGAAGCGUGGUGUGACUGUUACAGAUAAUGGGAACACAGAGGUAAAAUCAUCACCUUCAUUGGCAAACGGGAUCCAUUCUGAACCUAUGUCAGGACAAAUACCAGUUGCAAAGAGCAGCCCUGCAUGGGAUGAAGACUGGGGUCCUACUAAGAAAUCCGGUGUUCCAUCUCUUUCAGUUGAUUCUAGUGCACAAACAAAGCAACCCUCAGUAGACCCUUUUGACUUCGGUACUCAAACAAAGCAAUCCACAACACUCCCCUUUGAUUUGAGCACCCAGGCAAAGCAGCCACCAUCAGUUUCUCAUGUUACAGCAGCUACAAUCCCACCUGCGCAACCACAACCAUCACUACAAUCUCUUGCGGCUAGUUCAGGACCUAAAAUUUCUGGCUCAUGUGUCCCUGUCGACAUUGAGUGGCCUCCUCGAAGAAGCUCGUCAUCCAACUUCAAUGCACCCUUGUCUAUUAGCAAGGAUAAUGGUUCUGGAAGGCUGUCUAGCGAUGGAGUUGAUGAUAUUGAUCCUUUUGCUGAUUGGCCCCCAAUACCUAGCAAUGUUAAUAGCAUUUCAGCAACCGAGCAUUGGCCAAGCAUAAAUCAAAAUAUUUCGGGAUUUAGCUCAGGCAACAUAGUUUUUGGUGGCAGCGGGAAUUCUGUAGGGCAAACGAAAAGCAACCAAAUGAGCUGGUCAAACACGUCUAAUCUAAUGGGCACAAACUCAACUGGCAGCUAUUUGAAUCAGGGCAGUGCAGCUCUAGGUUUCGGAAAUCCAAAUGGAGGAUUGAGCACAGGUCUCUCCAAUCCAAGUAGUUCCAGUACAGGCCUGAGCAUGAUGCUACCAAAAUCUGAUUCUGGAUCAUUGUCGACGUCGGUCAACAAUGCCGCACAUGGGCUACUAAGACUUGCCCCUCCUCCAUCCACAUCGGUUGGAAGAGGGCGCGGUAGAAAUCAAGGACAGUCCGCACUCUCCCGAGCAUCAAGGCCUCAUGCCAACUCGGCAUCAGGACAACAACCUAUCCUGGAUUUACUCUAGUAAGAGAUGGUCGCCUCUGUUCUUCGCGUUCGGAUUGUCAAUGUGUACAUCCUCAAACCUUUGUAAGGUGAGCAUCAUACUGUUCUUUUGGACAUGCAUGUGGCGAAAGCAGUUCUUUUUGUUCAUUUUGAAGCUGGGUGGCCUUGGUUUAUAGUCUGAAGGGAUUCUACUUCGGGGAUCUUGCAGAGGUUUACCUUUUCUCAUGCUCCCGUGCUUAGGGUUUUGAAUUGGGCAUCGAGGCCAUCUUCAUACUGGUGACAGAAGAAAUGUUUUGUGUAUAUUUCUGUCCAAACUCGGCUGUAGCUUUCAGAGUUUGUGAAUAGUUGACAUGUUUAUAUGGGCUGUGAAGUUUUGAAAUGUUUAAUGGGCCUUACAGGACUGGGGGUUCAACUGCAGUGGUGCUGUGAGCCGUGCAUGCGAUGGACAACUCUCCUAUCGAGCAUUUUCAUCAAUUCGCUACACGGCCCUACAUCCCUGUGCCUGUGUGUGUACCACUAGCUUGCAUUGCAUUGCAUGCAGAGUGUACUAUUGAUGGGUGAUGCAUUGGAUGGGGCAUGCACAGCAGGAAUAUUUGCAGUUGAUGAGCGGCAGGAAUCAGUGGCUCAGGGAAAAUUGAAUGGCGAUCUGGCCUUCACUCCACAUGAGUACGUACCUAUACGUACGCAUGUAUCAUCAGACGGAGUCAGGAGGAUGCGGGUAGUGUCCCUGUGUUGUCUACCAUUUUGUCUCACCAAUGUGGUCCCAAAGUACAUGAUGUUUUUUUACUUUUACACACUUUAAACCGACCGUAAUAUUUAAUUCUUCUGUAAAUACUUAUUUUAUUUUAUCAUUAAAUAUAUUUUUUAAUUACUUAA